rnacentral:rRNA from 1 species
AUUGAACGCUGGCGGCAGGCCUAACACAUGCAAGUCGAACGGUAACAGGAAGCAGCUUGCUGCUUCGCUGACGAGUGGCGGACGGGUGAGUAAUGUCUGGGAAGCUGCCUGAUGGAGGGGGAUAACUACUGGAAACGGUAGCUAAUACCGCAUAAUGUCGCAAGACCAAAGAGGGGGACCUUCGGGCCUUUUGCCAUCGGAUGUGCCCAGAUGGGAUUAGCUUGUUGGUGGGGUAACGGCUCACCAAGGCGACGAUCCCUAGCUGGUCUGAGAGGAUGACCAGCCACACUGGAACUGAGACACGGUCCAGACUCCUACGGGAGGCAGCAGUGGGGAAUAUUGCACAAUGGGCGCAAGCCUGAUGCAGCCAUGCCGCGUGUAUGAAGAAGGCCUUCGGGUUGUAAAGUACUUUCAGCGGGGAGGAAGGGAGUAAAGUUAAUACCUUUGCUCAUUGACGUUACCCGCAGAAGAAGCACCGGCUAACUCCGUG